UAGGGAAUCUUCCGCAAUGGACGCAAGUCUGAUGGAGCAACGCCGCGUGAGUGAAGAAGGAUUUCGGUUCGUAAAACUCUGUUGUUAGAGAAGAACAGCGCAUAGAGUAACUGUUAUGCGUGUGACGGUAUCUAACCAGAAAGCCACGGCUAACUACGUGCCAGCAGCCGCGGUAAUACGUAGGUGGCAAGCGUUGACCGGAUUUAUUGGGCGUAAAGCGAGCGCAGGCGGUCAAUUAAGUCUGAUGUGAAAGCCCCCGGAACAACAAGGGAGGAUCAUUAGAUACUGGUAGACUUGAGUGAAGACGAGGAGAGUGGAAUUCCAGGUGUGGCGGUGAAAUGCGUAGAUAUAUGGAGGAACACCAGUGGCGAAGGCGGCUCUCUGGUCUAAUAAUGACGAUGAGGCUAGAAAGCGUGGGUAGCAAACAGG
rnacentral:rRNA from 1 species